rnacentral:rRNA from 1 species
GACGAACGCUGGCGGCGUGCUUAACACAUGCAAGUCGAACGGAAAGGCCCUGCUUUUGUGGGGUGCUCGAGUGGCGAACGGGUGAGUAACACGUGAGUAACCUGCCCUUGACUUUGGGAUAACUUCAGGAAACUGGGGCUAAUAUCGGAUAGGAGCUCCUGCUGCAUGGUGGGGGUUGGAAAGUUUCGGCGGUUGGGGAUGGACUCGAGGGUUAUCAGCUUGUUGGUGGGGUAGUGGCUUACCAAGGCUUUGACGGGUAGCCGGCCUGAGAGGGUGACCGGCCACAUUGGGACUGAGAUACGGCCCAGACUCCUACGGGAGGCAGCAGUGGGGAAUAUUGCACAAUGGGCGGAAGCCUGAUGCAGCAACGCCGCGUGCGGGAUGACGGCCUUCGGGUUGUAAACCGCUUUCGCCUGUGACGAAGCGUGAGUGACGGUAAUGGGUAAAGAAGCACCGGCUAACUACGUG